ACAAGACCUUAUGUUCAUGCAAGAUCACGUUCUAUAGUUGCAGGUGGACCUGAGUUUUGAGAGACAAGGCUGUUCACCCCAGUCCAUUGGGUCAAGUUGUUUCUGAAGUCUAUUGGCCAUGAACUGUGGCAUGUAGGAUCUUAGUUUUCCUGACCAGAGAGGGAACCUGCACUUCCCGCAUGGAGAGGUGGAGCCUCUGGCCACUGGGGUCAAGUUCCUGAGACAGCUCUUUAAGGACCAAAACAUUCCUGUUUAGGGUAAUUCCCAGAAUUCUAUAAAACCUAAGUGGAGGGGAUCAGAGAUGCAAGUAUUGAAAGUUGUUUGGAAUCAAAGAGAUGAAAGUUCUUGUCAGAGGCCUGGGGAAUCAGGAAGUCUAUUGACAAUCGUGAAUCGUUUACAUGAAAAUUGAGAAAUGGACAUUUCCCAACACCUAGCAAAGAGGAGGAGAUUGCUUUUGGGAACACAGAGAGCCAGGGUGGUUAAACGAAGACUAAAGCUUAGGGGCUCUGGCUUCAGUCUGGUCAGCAGGGAUCGUAGCAUCACAUACGGCCGUGUGUCUCACCUUGCCCCUGAACUUUGACAGUAAAUAUUUGACUGAUUUGACUGGUGAGGAGGACCUGAACAGUAAAUAUUUUACAAGGGGAAA